UAUAGCAUCAGGGUUCCACCUCUUCCCAUUCCGAACAGAGAAGUUAAGCCUGAUCACGCCGAUGGUACUGCGUAACAGUGGGAGAGUAGGUAGUCGCCGUUU
rnacentral:rRNA from 1 species